rnacentral:misc_RNA from 1 species
GCGAUAAGUAGUGUGAAUUGCAGAAUUCAGUGAAUCAUCGAAUCUUUGAACGCACAUUGCGCCCUUUGGUAUUCCUUAGGGCAUGCCUGUUCGAGCGUCAUCUAAACCUUCAAGCCCUGCUUGGUGUUGGGUGCCUGUCCCGCCUCCGCGCGCGGACUCACCUCAAAUCCAUUGGCGGCCCCCGCGUCGGCCACGAGCGCAGCAGAAACGCGAACUCGUGAGCCCGUCCGGGCGGCUCCCAGAAGCUACACCCACCCAGUUUGACCUCGGAUCAGGUAGGGAUACCCGCUGAACUUAAGC